rnacentral:rRNA from 1 species
GAUGAACGCUGGCGGCGUGCCUAAUACAUGCAAGUCGAGCGAACGGACGAGAAGCUUGCUUCUCUGAUGUUAGCGGCGGACGGGUGAGUAACACGUGGAUAACCUACCUAUAAGACUGGGAUAACUUCGGGAAACCGGAGCUAAUACCGGAUAAUAUCUUGAACCGCAUGAUUCAAAAGUGAAAGACGGUCUUGCUGUCACUUAUAGAUGGAUCCGCGCUGCAUUAGCUAGUUGGUAAGGUAACGGCUUACCAAGGCAACGAUGCAUAGCCGACCUGAGAGGGUGAUCGGCCACACUGGAACUGAGACACGGUCCAGACUCCUACGGGAGGCAGCAGUAGGGAAUCUUCCGCAAUGGGCGAAAGCCUGACGGAGCAACGCCGCGUGAGUGAUGAAGGUCUUCGGAUCGUAAAACUCUGUUAUUAGGGAAGAACAUAUGUGUAAGUAACUGUGCACAUCUUGACGGUACCUAAUCAGAAAGCCACGGCUAACUACGUG